UACGAAGGGAACUAGCGUUGUUCGGAUUUACUGGGCGUAAAGAGCAUGUAGGCGGAUUGGACAGUUGAGGGUGAAAUCCCAGAGCUCAACUCUGGAACGGCCUUCAAUACUUCCAGUCUAGAGUCCGUAAGGGGGUGGUGGAAUUCCGAGUGUAGAGGUGAAAUUCGUAGAUAUUCGGAGGAACACCAGUGGCGAAGGCGACCACCUGGUACGGUACUGACGCUGAGAUGCGAAAGCGUGGGGAGCAAACAGG
rnacentral:rRNA from 1 species